UACUCCUACGGGAGGCAGCAGUGGGGAAUUUUCGGCAAUGGGGGAAACCCUGACCGAGCAACGCCGCGUGAACGACGAAGUACUUCGGUAUGUAAAGUUCUUUUAAGAGGGAAGAAUGGCUGGCGGAAAAGCCAGAUUGACGGUACCUUUUGAAUAAGCCCCGGCUAACUAUGUGCCAGCAGCCGCGGUAAUA
rnacentral:rRNA from 1 species